ensembl:lncRNA novel transcript, antisense to FERMT2
GAGUCGCGGCGCCUGGGGCGGUGGCCGCCGGACCAAAGCUGGCCUCUCCCGGCUCCUCCUCCUCGCUCCCCAAGGCCUUUCCCACCGCGUCAUUGUCUCGGUUUAUCUGCAGAUACGUCUACCUAGCAGUCAGCCCAGCAGCCUGGCAGUUCAGAGCUCCGCAUCCCCAGGCCUCUGAGUCACAGUUCCUGCCUUCAUGAAACUAGGAGUUGGGGCCACUGCAUUCUACUCCUUCGGGACUAUUGUUUCAUUUCUCAGUCCCUCAAACCCUUUAUUGGAUGAACAUGGGGUUAGGACAGCGGUUCUCCACUGCAACAGUUUUGCCUCCCAGGAGACAUUUGGCAAUGUAUGAAUCAUUUUCAGCCUCUCAUCUGGGGUGAGAUGUCAUUGGAAUCUACAGAUGGUGGAGGGCACAGGCAGGGAGUACAGAAGAUGACCCUCUGCAAUAUGGGUGGGCCUCAUUCAAUUAGUUGAAAACCUUGAGAGCAAAGACUGAGGCUCCCUAAAGUAUAAGGAAUUCUCAAGACUGCAACACGGAAACCCUGCCCAAGCUUCCAGCCUGCUGCCCUGUGGAAUUAAUUCUCCGGACUGCAACAGCCUCUCUUGUCUGCAUUUCCAGCCUGCUGGUCUGCUCUUCAGAUUUCAGACUUGCCAGCCCCCACAACCACGCUAUUUUCUGAUCGGUUUCUGAAACCUGAAAAUGGAAUUAGCAGAAGAACUAUCCUGAACGAAUAUGUGACCACAGAGUAGGAACAGAAAACUAAGGGCAGAAAAAGAUAACCUGCAAAGAAUGCUGGUAAUCAAGUAGAGUUACUGUUGAGCUGAACUGAAUGAUCGGAUCCUCUUGAGCCCCAAAUGAGAUAUAACUAUUACCAUAAUCAAGAGUUGACUGGAGGUAAAGAACACUACAAUCCCAGUGUUCUAGUGACAAAGCCACUAAAGAAGCUGGUUCUGACCUACUGUAAGCAAGCCAUGCAGACUCAGCAGACCAGAAAACGUCUUUCUCCUGCUUUUCAGGCUACUUGCUCAUACCAUUUACCUAUACCACUUAGUUGCUCAUCUAUUAAACUUAGAGGACUUUUCCCUCUUUCAUUUCAUAGCCAGGCAGACUGCCCAAGACACCCUUGGGGAAACCUACUAUUUUUUUCUGUCUACCACGGUGUUUCGAACUUCUCACACUUCUGAGAAUCCUCCUCCUUCUCAGUAGACAACCAUGGAUUCUACUGCAGAAAACACAGAAGCCAUCAGAUUCAAACUCUUUCACCUUCACGCCAACCCAUCUAUAAGCCUUCUUAAAUUUGUACCCAGAUGGGCCUCCUGUCUUUGUGUUAACAUGAAAAAGUGUCUCUUCCUGUCUAUCUAAAGCCAAUCCCACCUCCUACGCUCUGCUGCCCUUCCCAUCUUCUAGGAACCGUGUGCUUCUUUCCUUACAUUGGCUCUCCAGGUGUCUCAUCCAUUCUCAUAGCUUUAAAAGACACUUAUUUUCGUCACUGGUGUCAGCAGCCCAACCUUCUACUCAGACGCCAGCCUAUACACCCUACUGCCUAUCUCACAUCUCUUCUUGAUGUCCCACAGAUAACUCAAUUUAUCUAAAAUGUAACCCAAUUUUUUUUCUUAUCCCUACUCUUAUUAUACUAACUAGCACCAACCGUCAACCCAGUUGCUCAAGCUAGGAAUCUGAAAGUCAUUGAUUUUCGCUUUCCCUCAUUCCUUACAUUUAUCAGCAAACUGUCAAAUCCACUUCCAAAAAUCUCCACUCCAGUCUCCACUGGCACCACCCUAUUUCAAGCUGCCAUCAUCUCUUGCACUGACUACUGCCACAGCCUCCUAACUGGUCUCCUUCAUUCCAUUCAGCACUUUGCAUACAACAGCCAGAGUCAUCUUUUCAGCGCUUUCAUGCCAUUCCCCUGCUGAAAAUCCUUUGCAACUGCUUCUAACUGCACUUAAAUAAAAUCCAAAUGCCGUAUCAGGUCUACAAAGCCCCACACAAUACAGCCUAUCUACUCCUCCAAAUUUAUCCUGUGCUACUCUUCCUUUGCUCCAGCCACACUGGCCUUUUUUAGUUCUAAGAAUCAUAUAACUAAGCUCUUUCCUGCCGCAGUGCCCUUGUACAUGCUACUCCACUCCUGGAAUGUCUAACUCUCUCUCAUCUUUCAGGUUUUAGCAUUAAUUCCAUAUUCUCAGAGAAGCCUUUUUUAGCUACCCUAGCCCUCCAAUGUCCUAUGUCCCCCCAUACUGUUGUAUUUCAGUAUCCUGUGAUAUCACUGAUCAAAAUUUAUAUUCAUUUUGUUUGUUGUUGGUGGGUGGGGGAGGAGGGUGCUAUCUUUCUUUCCUAAUAGAUUAUAAACUGUCUAAGAAGACAAAGGCAAUGUCUAUUUUGAUCACCAUUGUAUUUUCAGCACCUAGCACAGUGCUGGGCAGGCAAGAAAUAUUUAACAAAUGAAUUAAUCCUCCUUUUGAAAAUUUUAAAGAUCUCUCAUUACUCAAAACAAUCUCAACA